UCGAGGAUUUUUCUCAAUGGGCGAAAGCCUGAAGGAGCGACGCCGCGUGGGGGAUGAAGGUCUUCGGAUUGUAAACCCCUGUCACUUGGGAACAAAUUGGAUGGUUUAAUACAUCAUCCAUUGAUUGUACCAGGAGAGGAAGACGUGGCUAACUCUGUGCCAGCAGCCGCGGUAAUACAGAGACGUCGAGCGUUGUUCGGAUUCAUUGGGCGUAAAGGGUGCGUAGGCGGUGAGGUAAGUCGGAUGUGAAAUCCCAGAGCUUAACUCUGGAAGGGCAUCCGAAACUCCCUCGCUCGAGGACUGGAGGGGAGACUGGAAUUCUCGGUGUAGCGGUGAAAUGCGUAGAUAUCGAGAGGAACACCUGUGGCGAAGGCGGGUCUCUAGACAGUUCCUGACGCUGAGGCACGAAAGCCAGGGGAGCAAACGG
rnacentral:rRNA from 1 species